rnacentral:rRNA from 1 species
UACGGAGGGUGCAAACGUUAUCCGGAAUCACUGGGCGUAAAGAGCAUGUAGGUGGUUGGUAAAGUGGGCGAUUAAAGACCGAUGCUCAACAUCGGGACUGUUGCCUAUACUCACCGACUUGAGGAAGACAGGGGCAAGCGGAACUUUAGGUGUAGGAGUGAAAUCCGUAGAUAUCUAAAGGAACACCAAUGGCGAAGGCAGCUUGCUGGGUCUUUUCUGACACUGAGAUGCGAAAGCGUGGGGAGCGAACGGG